GUCGCCCACUCACUCGCUCUCCUCUCAUCAAUCCCAACAGUUCACGAUCAGGAGCACUAGCUAGCGUAGAAGCCAUGGUCUCCGGCGGUGGCCAGGCCCAGGCGCCGUCGUCUGCUCCGGCGGCAGAGUACGGCAGCACGCUGCCGCAGAUGGUGGACGAUGAGAGGAGCUACAAGUCGCAUGGGGAGCUCAUGCUGCUGCUAUUCGUCGUCGUCUUUGCGCUCCUCUUCGCUUCUGUCUUCUUCUUCCUCUGGUUGAGACGAAGGAGGGACCGCCGGCGCUGACCGGACGAUGGUUCAGGACUUCAUGGUUGUGUCUUCGUGGAUCAUCUGGCGCGACCGAUAGAUCUUUUACUUUUACUACAUCCAGAUCCAGCCACAAAUUUGUACGUACCAGUUUGGAGCUUUAUUAAUUUGAAUUUGAGCGUAAUCUCUCUCUAAAAACAAAUUUAAACCUUGCAUAGUUUGUAGUUAGGACUGUUCUUGCCUUAGUAAAGCCAGUCUAAUUUCAUUCC